rnacentral:rRNA from 1 species
AUUGAACGCUGGCGGCAGGCCUAACACAUGCAAGUCGAGCGAGCGGCGGACGGGUGAGUAAUGUAUGGGGACUGCCCGAUAGAGGGGGAUCAAUACUGGAAAAGGUGGCUAAUACCGAAUACUAUCGGACCACCCCGAUGGGAUUAGCUAGUAGGUGGGGUAAAGGCUCACCUAGGCGACGAUCUCUAGCUGGUCUGAGAGGAUGAUCAGGCACACUGGGACUGAGACACGGCCCAGACUCCUACGGAGGCAGCAGUGGGGAAUAUUGCACAAUGGGCGCAAGCCUGAUGCCGCCAUGCCGCGUGUAUGAAGAAGGCCGUAGGGUUGUAAAGUACUUUCAGCGGGGAGGCGUUACCCGCAGAAGAAGCACCGGCUAACUCCGUGCCAGCAGCCGCGGUAAUUC